rnacentral:rRNA from 1 species
AGCGUUAAUCGGAAUUACUGGGCGUAAAGCGCACGCAGGCGGUCUGUCAAGUCGGAUGUGAAAUCCCCGGGCUCAACCUGGGAACUGCAUUCGAAACUGGCAGGCUUGAGUCUUGUAGAGGGGGGUAGAAUUCCAGGUGUAGCGGUGAAAUGCGUAGAGAUCUGGAGGAAUACCGGUGGCGAAGGCGGCCCCCUGGACAAAGACUGACGCUCAGGUGCGAAAGCGUGGGGAGCAAACAGGAUUAGAUACCCUGGUAGUCCACGCCGUAAACGAUGUCUACUUGGAGGUUGUGCCCUUGAGGCGUGGCUUCCGGAGCUAACGCGUUAAGUAGACCGCCUGGGGAGUACGGCCGCAAGGUUAAAACUCAAAUGAAUUGACGGGGGCCCGCACAAGCGGUGGAGCAUGUG